rnacentral:rRNA from 1 species
GUGGGGAAUAUUGGACAAUGGGCGAAAGCCUGAUCCAGCCAUGCCGCGUGUGUGAAGAAGGUCUUCGGAUUGUAAAGCACUUUAAGUUGGGAGGAAGGGCAGUAAGUUAAUACCUUGCUGUUUUGACGUUACCGACAGAAUAAGCACCGGCUAACUUCGUGCCAGCAGCCGCGGUAAUACGAAGGGUGCAAGCGGUAAUCGGAAUUACUGGGCGUAAAGCGCGCGUAGGUGGUUUUGUAAGUUGGAUGUGAAAUCCCCGGGCUCAACCUGGGAACUGCCUCCAAAAGUGCAUGACUAGAGUACGGUAGAGGGUAGUGGAAUUUCCUGUGAAGCGGUGAAAUGCGUAGAUAUAGGAAGGAACACCAGUGGCGAAGGCGACUACCUGGACUGAUACUGACACUGAGGUGCGAAAGCGUGCGGAGCAAACAGGAUUAGAAACCCGGGUAGUCC